rnacentral:tRNA from 1 species
GGGCCCUUAGCUCAGUUGGUAGAGCAACUGACUUUUAAUCAGUAGGUCGCUGGUUCGAACCCAGCGCGGCUCACCA